GUGCAAUGGCAUAAGCCAGCUUGACUGCGAGCGUGACGGCGCGAGCAGGUGCGAAAGCAGGUCAUAGUGAUCCGGUGGUUCUGAAUGGAAGGGCCAUCGCUCAACGGAUAAAAGGUACUCCGGGGAUAACAGGCUGAUACCGCCCAAGAGUUCAUAUCGACGGCGGUGUUUGGCACCUCGAUGUCGGCUCAUCACAUCCUGGGGCUGAAGUAGGUCCCAAGGGUAUGGCUGUUCGCCAUUUAAAGUGGUACGCGAGCUGGGUUUAGAACGUCGUGAGACAGUUCGGUCCCUAUCUGCCGUGGGCGCUGGAGAACUGAGGGGGGCUGCUCCUAGUACGAGAGGACCGGAGUGGACGCAUCACUGGUGUUCGGGUUGUCAUGCCAAUGGCACUGCCCGGUAGCUAAAUGCGGAAGAGAUAAGUGCUGAAAGCAUCUAAGCACGAAACUUGCCCCGAGAUGAGUUCUCCCUGACCCUUUAAGGGUCCUGAAGGAACGUUGAAGACGACGACGUUGAUAGGCCGGGUGUGUAAGCGCAGCGAUGCGUUGAGCUAACCGGUACUAAUGAACCGUGAGG
rnacentral:rRNA from 3 species